rnacentral:rRNA from 1 species
UACCAUGCAAGUCGAGCGGUAGCACAGAGAGCUUGCUCUCGGGUGACGAGCGGCGGACGGGUGAGUAAUGUCUGGGAAACUGCCUGAUGGAGGGGGAUAACUACUGGAAACGGUAGCUAAUACCGCAUAACGUCGCAAGACCAAAGUGGGGGACCUUCGGGCCUCAUGCCAUCAGAUGUGCCCAGAUGGGAUUAGCUAGUAGGUGGGGUAACGGCUCACCUAGGCGACGAUCCCUAGCUGGUCUGAGAGGAUGACCAGCCACACUGGAACUGAGACACGGUCCAGACUCCUACGGGAGGCAGCAGUGGGGAAUAUUGCACAAUGGGCGCAAGCCUGAUGCAGCCAUGCCGCGUGUGUGAAGAAGGCCUUCGGGUUGUAAAGCACUUUCAGCGGGGAGGAAGGCGUUAAGGUUAAUAACCUUGUCGAUUGACGUUACCCGCAGAAGAAGCACCGGCUAACUCCGUGCCAGCAGCCGCGGUAAUACGGAGGGUGCAAGCGUUAAUCGGAAUUACUGGGCGUAAAGCGCACGCAGGCGGUCUGUCAAGUCGGAUGUGAAAUCCCCGGGCUCAACCUGGGAACUGCAUUCGAAACUGGCAGGCUAGAGUCUUGUAGAGGGGGGUAGAAUUCCAGGUGUAGCGGUGAAAUGCGUAGAGAUCUGGAGGAAUACCGGUGGCGAAGGCGGCCCCCUGGACAAAGACUGACGCUCAGGUGCGAAAGCGUGGGGAGCAAACAGGAUUAGAUACCCUGGUAGUCCACGCCGUAAACGAUGUCGAUUUGGAGGUUGUGCCCUUGAGGCGUGGCUUCCGGAGCUAACGCGUUAAAUCGACCGCCUGGGGAGUACGGCCGCAAGGUUAAAACUCAAAUGAAUUGACGGGGGCCCGCACAAGCGGUGGAGCAUGUGGUUUAAUUCGAUGCAACGCGAAGAACCUUACCUGGUCUUGACAUCCACAGAACUUUCCAGAGAUGGAUUGGUGCCUUCGGGAACUGUGAGACAGGUGCUGCAUGGCUGUCGUCAGCUCGUGUUGUGAAAUGUUGGGUUAAGUCCCGCAACGAGCGCAACCCUUAUCCUUUGUUGCCAGCGGUUAGGCCGGGAACUCAAAGGAGACUGCCAGUGAUAAACUGGAGGAAGGUGGGGAUGACGUCAAGUCAUCAUGGCCCUUACGACCAGGGCUACACACGUGCUACAAUGGCAUAUACAAAGAGAAGCGACCUCGCGAGAGCAAGCGGACCUCAUAAAGUAUGUCGUAGUCCGGAUUGGAGUCUGCAACUCGACUCCAUGAAGUCGGAAUCGCUAGUAAUCGUAGAUCAGAAUGCUACGGUGAAUACGUUCCCGGGCCUUGUACACACCGCCCGUCACACCAUGGGAGUGGGUUGCAAAAGAAGUAGGUAGCUUAACCUUCGGGAGGGCGCUACC